rnacentral:sRNA from 1 species
GUGCGCUGGGCGGCGCUCGGACCCCUUGGCAGCCGCAGGUGCCUCCCCAGCCCAGCCCAGCUCAGUCCAGCGCAGCCCAGCCCAGCCCGGCCCUUGCAGCCUCCGCCGCUUCCAGGCAGAUAGGUGCCUUUCCUUGCUCCUUGCUCUUGGAGUUCUUCUCUUAGUCCGUGCUCCCUGGAUGAAAGCAUCGCUCCGAGCCUCAUGGGAGGAAUGAAGGAAGAAUCGAGACUAGAUAUCCAACUAAGGCUUCAGGACAUGUUUUGAGCGAAGAUGUGUGUUUCUGCCCGGAUAGUAUAAAUCGAGGAUCCAGGUCUGGGCAGAUUCAACCAUGGGAGCCAACACUUCAAGCAAACCACCAGUGUUUGAUGAAAAUGAAGAUGUCAACUUUGACCACUUUGAAAUUUUGCGAGCCAUUGGGAAAGGCAGUUUUGGGAAGGUCUGCAUUGUACAGAAGAAUGAUACCAAGAAGAUGUACGCAAUGAAGUACAUGAAUAAACAAAAGUGCGUGGAGCGCAAUGAAGUGAGAAAUGUCUUCAAGGAACUCCAGAUCAUGCAGGGUCUGGAGCACCCUUUCCUGGUUAAUUUGUGGUAUUCCUUCCAAGAUGAGGAAGACAUGUUCAUGGUGGUGGACCUCCUGCUCGGUGGAGACCUGCGUUAUCACCUGCAACAGAACGUCCGCUUCAAGGAAGAAACAGUGAAGCUCUUCAUCUGUGAGCUGGUCAUGGCCCUGGACUACCUGCAGAGCCAGCGCAUCAUUCACAGGGAUAUGAAGCCUGACAAUAUUUUACUUGAUGAACACGGGCACGUGCACAUCACAGAUUUCAACAUUGCUGCGAUGCUGCCCAGGGAGACACAGAUUACCACCAUGGCUGGCACCAAGCCUUACAUGGCACCUGAGAUGUUCAGCUCCAGAAAAGGAGCAGGCUAUUCCUUUGCAGUUGACUGGUGGUCCCUGGGAGUGACGGCAUAUGAACUGCUGAGAGGCCGGAGACCAUAUCAUAUUCGCUCCAGUACUUCCAGCAAGGAAAUUGUACACACUUUUGAGACGACUGUUGUAACUUACCCUUCUGCCUGGUCACAGGAAAUGGUGUCACUUCUUAAAAAGCUACUCGAACCUAAUCCAGACCAACGAUUUUCUCAGUUAUCUGAUGUCCAGAACUUCCCGUAUAUGAAUGAUAUAAACUGGGAUGCAGUUUUUCAGAAGAGGCUCAUUCCAGGUUUCAUUCCUAAUAAAGGCAGACUGAAUUGUGAUCCUACCUUUGAACUCGAGGAAAUGAUUUUGGAGUCCAAACCUCUUCACAAGAAAAAAAAGCGUCUGGCAAAGAAGGAGAAAGAUAUGAGGAAAUGCGAUUCUUCUCAGGUAAGCAGGUCCCCACCAAACUCAGGGUCAUGGGUAUCCCCAUGAUGGCUGCAAUAUCUUCGGGAGCUUCUACUGGGAGGUCAUUUCAGCUUCCUGCUUUUGCUGCUUAGUGAAAUAGGAGAAGUAGAUCAGCCAGGCUUCUAAAAGGGCAGACCAGAGCUGCUCUGAGGAUCCUAGCAGCAAUGUUUUACUUGUAGGCUUUCCGUCUAGAGUUCUGCCAUUAACUUGACUCAGUUAUUUCUCUCUUCCAGUUCUCAGUUCAAAAUUUACAAAUUUCCUGGGAGAGGAACUGUCAUUGGCCAAGCUUAGGUCAGGGGAUGAUUCAUAAAAUUAUGGUAAAGGGGCAGGUUUCAAAGUACACACAUGGUUGUUUUGGACCUCACUCCUGCUUUGAGGAGUUUCUGGGAGCAGCCAACCCUAGAGAUGAUGUCUGUUCUUUGCCACAAGCAGAAUUUUAUGAUAUCAAGCCUCACAGAGGAGUGUCUGUUCACAGGAAUGAUGGAAUUCUAAUAUGGUGGAGCACUAUCGCUGGAUUUCAGGCUGAGUUAAAUUAACUUUGUAACUAAGUAUAUUAUUCUCUGUCUGAGUCAGAGCUCAGAUUUCAGUGAAAUAACUUGCAAACAGUAGGAUUUUAUACUCACAUGUGGCUCUGUGAAUUAUAAUGAUGAUGAAGUAAUAAACAUUUACUUUGCCUCU